AAUUUAGCGAUUGUAAAGUUCUACAUUUGUCAUAAUUUUAAAAAUUCAAAACGAAUUCGUAAUAUACAGCUCAUUAAGCUCACUAAUAUAUUUUGGAUUAGUUGUUAAAUUACUAUAUUACCCAUAUAAAAAUUCAUUUAAUUAGUUUUAAAUUACCCCUCAAACGUUGUAGUUCACACAAUGCUUCCCAAUUAAUAGUAUAGAUUAUUUAUUAGAAUCAUAUGUAAU
rnacentral:sRNA from 1 species